GCUGAAGCCUGGUGCUUGCACCGGGUGGAUGAGUGGCGAACGGGUGAGUAACACGUGAGUAACCUGCCCCUGACUUCGGGAUAAGCCCGGGAAACUGGGUCUAAUACCGGAUACGACUGCCGGACGCAUGUCUGGUGGUGGAAAGUUUUUUCGGUUGGGGAUGGGCUCGCGGCCUAUCAGUUUGUUGGUGAGGUAAUGGCUCACCAAGACGACGACGGGUAGCCGGCCUGAGAGGGCGACCGGCCACACUGGGACUGAGACACGGCCCAGACUCCUACGGGAGGCAGCAGUGGGGAAUAUUGCACAAUGGGGGAAACCCUGAUGCAGCGACGCAGCGUGCGGGAUGACGGCCUUCGGGUUGUAAACCGCUUUCAGCAGGGAAGAAGCGCAAGUGACGGUACCUGCAGAAGAAGUACCGGCUAACUACGUGCCAGCAGCCGCGGUAAUACGUAGGGUACGAGCGUUGUCCGGAAUUAUUGGGCGUAAAGAGCUCGUAGGUGGUUGGUCACGUCUGCUGUGGAAACGCAACGCUUAACGUUGCGCGUGCAGUGGGUACGGGCUGACUAGAGUGCAGUAGGGGAGUCUGGAAUUCCUGGUGUAGCGGUGAAAUGCGCAGAUAUCAGGAGGAACACCGGUGGCGAAGGCGGGACUCUGGGCUGUAACUGACACUGAGGAGCGAAAGCAUGGGGAGCGAACAGGAUUAGAUACCCUGGUAGUCCAUGCCGUAAACGUUGGGCACUAGGUGUGGGGGGCAUUCCACGUUCUCCGCGCCGUAGCUAACGCAUUAAGUGCCCCGCCUGGGGAGUACGGUCGCAAGGCUAAAACUCAAAGGAAUUGACGGGGGCCCGCACAAGCGGCGGAGCAUGCGGAUUAAUUCGAUGCAACGCGAAGAACCUUACCAAGGCUUGACAUACACCAGACCGUCCUGGAAACAGGUCCUCUUCUUUGAAGCUGGUGUACAGGUGGUGGCAUGGUUGUCGUCAGCUCGUGUCGUGAGAAGGUUGGGGUUAAGUCCCGCAACGAGCGCAACCCUCGUUCUAUGUUG
rnacentral:rRNA from 1 species